AUAAUUUUUUCGUACUGAAAAAGACAACAGAAGUUAAGUAGUUGCUGCGGCACCAUUUAUAACAACUACAUAUGGCAUCUCAAAAUGAAGGAACUAAGCACGUGCAAAAAAAGAGGGCAAUGAAGAUCCAUCACAGUCUGAGAUGUUUGUUGUAACUCGUACUAACAAGAAAGGAGA